rnacentral:rRNA from 1 species
UACGAAGGGUGCAAGCGUUAUCCGGAUUCACUGGGUUUAAAGGGUGCGUAGGCGGCGAGGUAAGUCGGAUGUGAAAUCUCAGGGCUCAACCCUGAAACUGCAUUCGAUACUGCCUUGCUUGAGGACUCGAGAGGAGAUUGGAAUUCACGGUGUAGCAGUGAAAUGCGUAGAUAUCGUGAGGAAGACCAGUGGCGAAGGCGGAUCUCUGGAGAGUUCCUGACGCUGAGGCACGAAGGCCAGGGGAGCAAACGGG